GAUGAACGCUGGCGGCGUGCCUAAUACAUGCAAGUCGAGCGAACGGACGAGAAGCUUGCUUCUCUGAUGUUAGCGGCGGACGGGUGAGUAACACGUGGAUAACCUACCUAUAAGACUGGGAUAACUUCGGGAAACCGGAGCUAAUACCGGAUAAUAUUUUGAACCGCAUGGUUCAAAAGUGAAAGACGGUCUUGCUGUCACUUAUAGAUGGAUCCGCGCUGCAUUAGCUAGUUGGUAAGGUAACGGCUUACCAAGGCAACGAUGCAUAGCCGACCUGAGAGGGUGAUCGGCCACACUGGAACUGAGACACGGUCCAGACUCCUACGGGAGGCAGCAGUAGGGAAUCUUCCGCAAUGGGCGAAAGCCUGACGGAGCAACGCCGCGUGAGUGAUGAAGGUCUUCGGAUCGUAAAACUCUGUUAUUAGGGAAGAACAUAUGUGUAAGUAACUGUGCACAUCUUGACGGUACCUAAUCAGAAAGCCACGGCUAACUACGUGCCAGCAGCCGCGGUAAUACGUAGGUGGCAAGCGUUAUCCGGAAUUAUUGGGCGUAAAGCGCGCGUAGGCGGUUUUUUAAGUCUGAUGUGAAAGCCCACGGCUCAACCGUGGAGGGUCAUUGGAAACUGGAAAACUUGAGUGCAGAAGAGGAAAGUGGAAUUCCAUGUGUAGCGGUGAAAUGCGCAGAGAUAUGGAGGAACACCAGUGGCGAAGGCGACUUUCUGGUCUGUAACUGACGCUGAUGUGCGAAAGCGUGGGGAUCAAACAGGAUUAGAUACCCUGGUAGUCCACGCCGUAAACGAUGAGUGCUAAGUGUUAGGGGGUUUCCGCCCCUUAGUGCUGCAGCUAACGCAUUAAGCACUCCGCCUGGGGAGUACGACCGCAAGGUUGAAACUCAAAGGAACUGACGGGGGCCCGCACAAGCGGCGGAGCAUGUGGAUUAAUUCGAUGCAACGCGAAGAACCUUACCUGGGCUUGACAUAUACAGGAUCGCGCCAGAGAUGGUGUUUCCCUUGUGGCUUGUAUACAGGUGGUGCAUGGUUGUCGUCAGCUCGUGUCGUGAGAUGUUGGGUUAAGUCCCGCAACGAGCGCAACCCUUGUCUUAUGUUGCCAGCACGUUGUGGUGGGGACUCGUAAGAAACUGCCGGGGUUAACUCGGAGGAAGGUGGGGAUGACGUCAAAUCAUCAUGCCCCUUAUGUCCAGGGCUUCACACAUGCUACAAUGGUCGGUACAGUGGGUUGCCAGUCCGUGAGGGCGAGCUAAUCCCGCAAAGCCGGUCUCAGUUCGGAUCGGGGUCUGCAACUCGACCCCGUGAAGUCGGAGUCGCUAGUAAUCGCAGAUCAGCAACGCUGCGGUGAAUACGUUCCCGGGCCU
rnacentral:rRNA from 1 species